GGGGAAUAUUGCGCAAUGGGGGAAACCCUGACGCAGCAACGCCGCGUGAAGGAUGAAGGUCUUCGGAUUGUAAACUUCUUUGAUUGGGGACGAUAAUGACGGUACCCAAGGAACAAGCCACGGCUAACUACGUGCCAGCAGCCGCGGUAAUACGUAGGUGGCAAGCGUUGUCCGGAAUUACUGGGUGUAAAGGGCGUGUAGGCGGGGAAGCAAGUCAGAUGUGAAAUUCCGGGGCUCAACCCCGGCGCUGCAUCUGAAACUGUUUCUCUUGAGUGCUGGAGAGGAAAGCGGAAUUCCUAGUGUAGCGGUGAAAUGCGUAGAUAUUAGGAGGAACACCAGUGGCGAAGGCGGCUUUCUGGACAGUAACUGACGCUGAGGCGCGAAAGCGUGGGGAGCGAAC
rnacentral:rRNA from 1 species